GUGUUCUUUUUGACCACACAUUUACUAAAAUUAAAAUAUUGCAGAGAUGAUGAGCUUGGCUCACGUGCAGGGAUAAAAUGCAACAUUAUAAAGUGUUCCAUGUUUUA